GACGAACGCUGGCGGCGUGCUUAACACAUGCAAGUCGAACGAAGUGGCGAACGGGUGAGUAACGCGUAAUCAACCUGCCCUUCAGAGGGGGACAACAGUUGGAAACGACUGCUAAUACCUCAUACUGAAGGAGGGGAUUUCGUCUGAUUAGCUAGUUGGAGAGGUAACGGCCCACCAAGGGGAUGAUCAGUAGCCGGUCGGAAAGGAAGAGCGGCCACAUUGAGACGGAGACACGGCCCAGACUGCUACGGGAGGCAGCAGUGGGGAAUCUUCCGCAAUGGACGAAAGUUUGACGGAGCAACGCGGCGUGAGUGAUGACGGCCUUCGGGUUGUAAGGAUCUGUUAAUCGGGACGCGGUUCCGGAAUAGAAAGCCACGGCUGACUACGUGCCAGCAGCCGCGGUAGUUC
rnacentral:rRNA from 1 species